rnacentral:rRNA from 1 species
GAUGAACGCUGGCGGCGUGCCUAAUACAUGCAAGUCGAGCGAACAGACGAGGAGCUUGCUCCUCUGACGUUAGCGGCGGACGGGAUAGUAACAUGUGGAUAAUCUACCUAUAAGACUGGGAUAACUUCGGGAUACCGGCGCUAAUACCGGAUAAUAUCUUGAACCGCAUGGUUCAAUAUUGAAAGACGGUUUUGCUGUCACUUAUAGAUGGAUCCGCGCCGAAUUAGCUAGUUGGUAAAGUAACGGCUUCCCAAGGCAACGAUGCGAAGCCGACCUGAGAGGGAGAUCGGACACACUGGAAGUGAGACAGGGUCCAGACACCUACGGGAGGCAGCAGUAGGGAAUCUUCCGCGAUGGGCGAAAGCGUGAUGGAGCAACGCCGCGUGAGUGAUGAAGGACUUAGGAUCGGAAAACUCUGUUAUUAGGGAAGAACAAAUGUGUAAGUAACUAUGCACGUCUUGACGGUACCUAAUCAGAAAGCCACGGCUAACUACGUG